rnacentral:rRNA from 2 species
UCACUGACGCUCAUGGACGAAAGCCAGGGGAGCGAAAGGGAUUAGAUACCCCUGUAGUCCUGGCCGUAAACGAUGAACACUAGGUGUCGGGGGAAUCGACCCCCUCGGUGUCGUAGCCAACGCGUUAAGUGUUCCGCCUGGGGAGUACGCACGCAAGUGUGAAACUCAAAGGAAUUGACGGGGGCCCGCACAAGCGGUGGAGUAUGUGGUUUAAUUCGAUGCAACGCGAAGAACCUUACCAGGGUUUGACAUCCUGCGAAUCUCUUGGAAACAGGAGAGUGCCUUCGGGAACGCAGUGACAGGUGGUGCAUGGCUGUCGUCAGCUCGUGUCGUGAGAUGUUGGGUUAAGUCCCGCAACGAGCGCAACCCACGUCUUUAGUUGCCAGCAUUUAGUUGGGCACUCUAGAGAGACUGCCGGUGAUAAACCGGAGGAAGGUGUGGAUGACGUCAAGUCAUCAUGCCCCUUACAUCCUGGGCUACACACGUACUACAAUGCUACGGACAAAGGGCAGCAAGUUCGCGAGGACAAGCAAAUCCCAUAAACCGUGGCUCAGUUCAGAUCGUAGGCUGCAACUCGCCUACGUGAAGGCGGAAUCGCUAGUAAUCGCAGGUCAGCAUACUGCGGUGAAUACGUUCCCGGGCCUUGUACACACCGCCCGUCACACCAUGGAAGCUGGCCACGCCCGAAGCCGUUACUCCAACCCUUGUGGAGGAGGACGUCGAAGGUGGGGCUGAUGACUGGGGUGAAGUCGUAACAAGGUAACC